rnacentral:rRNA from 1 species
GAUGAACGCUGGCGGCGUGCUUAACACAUGCAAGUCGAACGAAGAUGUCGGAGUGCUUGCACUUUGGCAGACUGAGUGGCGGACGGGUGAGUAACGCGUGGGUAACCUGCCUUAUACAGGGGGAUAACAGUUGGAAACGACUGCUAAUACCGCAUAAGCGCACGGUAUCGCAUGAUACAGUGUGAAAAACUCCGGUGGUAUAAGAUGGACCCGCGUCUGAUUAGCUUGUUGGUGAGGUAACGGCCCACCAAGGCGACGAUCAGUAGCCGGCCUGAGAGGGUGAACGGCCACAUUGGGACUGAGACACGGCCCAAACUCCUACGGGAGGCAGCAGUGGGGAAUAUUGCACAAUGGGGGAAACCCUGAUGCAGCGACGCCGCGUGAGUGAUGAAGUAUUUCGGUAUGUAAAACUCUAUCAGCAGGGAAGAUAAUGACGGUACCUGACUAAGAAGCAACCGGCUAAAUACGUGCCAGCAGCC